CCUUUCCUGUCACCCCCCCUUUCCAUAUUAGGUCCUUCCAUUAAUUAUUCUGCUGGCAUAAUUUAAACCGCUAUGCAAAAAUGUGGCUACAUUCUGUCCGAUGGCUUUUACUUUUUUUUUUUUUUUUACCCCAUUGGUGUCUGCCGUCACUGAAAGUGAUUCUGGUUACAAUUCUAUUUUGUUUUGAAUUUGCAAAAAUUAUCUUCUCUUUCUUAAAAAAAAAAAAUUCUUAACAACAUCAAACCUCUGUUUAUAUUGUCUGAUCCCUCUUCUUAUGAAUGAAUACAUGCUUCUCCAAGUUGGGGUUCAGAAUUGUACAAGGUAACAGAGAAUAAGGGGUGCAUUGCCAUGGAAGUUGCAGGUUUUUCAAACAAUCUGUGUCUUAGAACAUCCUUUAACGUUUCCAGAUUUUAUGCUGCAGUGGCCAUUUUACAUACAGUGCUUUAUCCAAAAAGCACUUAUGUGCAUCUGUCACAUGGAGGAAAGUUCACUCUUGUUAUAUUUCAUUCUCCACUGCUCUCGGCCAACAUUGUCAUUUUAUUAAUGAAUAGAACUGAGGUCAUUUCUGGACAAAUCUCCCCCUUCCCACCCCAGCACAAUGCACCUGAUUUGCAUCCAUUUACUAGAAAAACUGAAUACAAGAACCAGCUUGAAAAGAAGUUAAGGGACCAGCUUACAUAUUAUUUCAGAAUUUAUUGCCGUUAUACAGUUUGUUUUUUAAAAUGUAUAAUAUUUAACAUUUGCCUUAGUGUUUCUAUAAAAAUGCCUGGUCUCCAUUCGCAAUGUAAUGCCUUUAGCAAAUUUAUGGGAUUGUUACAUAACCAAAGUAGAUCAAAUGAAAUAAUGUUCACAAACGAGUUCAUUUGUCUGCAGAAAACCUUUGGAAAUACAAUUUUGCGUUGCACAUUUAUAUUUAGCUGUCAGGGAUAAAUUCAUUUGUUCUAUAGAUAACUUAAAGAGGCUGGAACAUGUGGCAUGUGAAGAUUUCAGGUUGCUUUAUAAAAUCCCAGAGAGCAAAACUGGGUCACACUUCAAUGCAAUUUCUAUUAAGUCAUAUCUUUAUUGCAUAUUUGCGUUAAAGGCACACUGUUUUCUAGCAGAGAAGGUGAAGUUUCGUUGUCUUUCUUUUAAAAGGAUGUUUUGAAUAUAAUUAUUCAAAAACAUGGAAUUUAAAAAAUAUUGACAAGGGUUUCAUAAUAGUGCAUGAUUCGUUUAAGAAGCUUAGAGAGUGCAAUGAUAGGCAUAGUCACUUUUUAAAACAUAUGAAGGAUUUAGAUGGGAAACCAUGGCCCUUUUAAUUCAUGAGGCAUUCCAUCAUCCCAUCAUCAGUAUUCAGGGGGCGACUGUCCCGAAUCAGUCACGAGCUCCCCUGCUGCAGAUCCUGUAAUUUGAAUCAUGUGUAAUAAUAUAUUAUCCUACUGGGGGCCUUCUUUCAGUAGGAGAAUGGUUUAUACAUUCUGCUAUAAGAGAACUUUUGGCUUCUAGCCGACUCACAGCCAUUACUCACAUAGGCAAUCACGAUCGUCUUCCUUAAGGAAUAACAUCUGCACAACCUCCAGAGCCAAAAAUCUGCAACCUCCCGCACAGUGUGAAUUAUGAUUUCUUGGAAUUGGGAUCACUUGACAAACUGAAGUAGAAAAAUGGAAGGUUUAAAGGAAUGGAUCAACAUUUUAUUGAGUGUGCCAUGUGGCGAGAGCGCAAAUUCCCAUUCCUUUGAAAUGAUGGAGAAUGGUGAGGAAAGGAGGCCAAAAAUAUACCUACAUGUGUUCAUUUGAUUUUUAGACACAGCCGAAAUGUAAUGUGUUUUAUGAAGAUGUGGCUGCCUCUGUGUUUUUCUGUGGACAUCCUAGCAAGGUCCUGUAAAGGGCGCAGCAACGUGGAGAAAUAAACGGGGGGCGAAGGUGACUGUGAAAGCAGAGAAAUUGUGUCACCUCGAGAAGGAAGCAAUGUAAUAUCACAGGAACCGUUCUGACCCCGGAGUUAAAAAUUAUAGUGUGCCUCUGAUGCUUUCUCUUGUUAUCACCUUGAUCAGGUCACUUAAUUUCUUUCCAUUUUUCUCCUACAUUCAAAAAUUAAAGACAAUGCCAGCAUAGAGAUUUUCUCUUUGUGUGAAAUGCCUUCCCACUUUUUAAGAGUCUAGAUCCUUUUUUGCUUCAAGGACCAGGUUAAAUGUCUCCUCUUCUGUGAAAUCUUUCCGAAUCACCAUGACCAGAAUCUCUCACUUCUCCACCCCUUUUCACCCAUUUUAUUGCCUGUAUGCCAGUCAGUAUUGCUGUGGGGCCACAUGUGUAUAUAUCUUUGCCAGUAGACUGAAAGCCCCUUGGGGACAGAGACCACAUUGAAUUCUUCCACCCCCAGCUCUAAGAAUAAUGAAUGAUGCUCCUAAGGUUUAAAUCCAUGUUUUAAUUAAUGAAUUAUAAGUACGUUACAGAUUGCAGAGGGAGGGUCAUACAAAUUUCAGGGUUACGAUUAUUGUUGUCAACUAUUACCACUAUGUACCAGUUGAUGUCAGCUUUACCUCAUCAAUGUUAAGCCUUUUAUUUCACUGGCCCUUCAUAAUAAAGCUCAGAUUAAAUGGUCUCUGUAUUAUUUUUCUUAAAUAGCCAGUCGUAAGGAAAAUGCAAAUCAUUUUGCUUAUUAAAUAUAAAAUUAAGCCAACUUAGUUGGUGUUUAAAAACUUAAAAAUAGGUGAAAUUUAUGUAGAUUCAAGCAACCAUGAUAAGCAAAUUACAAUAUCCAGCUCUACUGUUAAUGAUACGAAAAAUUACUUGGAAAAGCUUUCUUUAGCUUGCCCAUGGUGAUGUGAAGAUGAGAAGAAAUAGCAAGGCCCAACCAGUUCUUCAUCUGAAGACAGUUCAAUGUUCUACAAACCAGAUCUUCAGGAAUUUUACUGGGAUAAUUGUCCAAAUAAAUUGCAAGCAUUCUAUCCAAAUGGUUAUUGAUUAUUAAAAUGGCACUGUAAAGAGAUAGCUCCAAAAUAACACCAUAGUAAAAAGUACCAAUAUUAUCAUGGACUGCAAAUCUCAGGGAUAUUUUAACUCCAGAUCUGAUAACCACAUGAAAAUGACUUUGAUGUCUAUGGGAAAGCAGGAAACCAAGAUUUACAAAGUGAGUUGCAAUUUGGUAGACAAUGUUCUUUUACUAAUCUAUUUGUUAUCUAGUGCUAUCUCUCUCCAAAAAUACCUGAUCCCCAUGGUAGAAUACAUGCUUCACUAUGAUAUCAUGGUUGUACUUUUCAGACACCAUAUUUGGUGAAAAAAAUCACAUUAUAAAACCAUAUGUCAGUAGAAAGGAAUGAGUUAGGGAAUAGAUUUGUUAAGCUCCUACCAAUGAUAUAAAGGCGGACGCAGGAUUUUCUUUAGAUUGACUAGGUAUGACGAAGAGAGCAAAAGUAAGUUAAGCCAUGGAUUAAUCCAAGUGAAUACAAUUCAAGGAAAAUAAACAGGAUAUAAUCAUAUUUAAGAAUAAAUAAUAUUCCUUAAUGAAAACAUUAUAGCAAUUUUGUUUAGAAUGGCAUAGGUCAUCAGAAAGCUAUAUGUAUGUAUUAUGAUAUAUAUUGUAUACACUCAAUCUAUUACAUAUUCAACAUGUAUUACACACAUAUUAAUAUUAUGUCUAUUAUAUACUCACAUUUCACAUAGUAUACUGAUAUAGUAUACCUACCAUACUGUUAGGUGCAUCUGACUUCUUCCCUCUUAAAUUUUGCAUGCACAGACUAUAUUUCCUGUACAAAAUUUAAAUCCUAAGAAUAAUGUAGCAAAGGUAGAUCAUGCUUUUGAGAAGCUUUUUAAAUUAACAAGUGUUUAAAUGUCUUUGUAUAUAUGUCUGUUAUGUGUAUGUUCGUGUGUGUGUGUGUGUGGUUAGCAUUGAGCCUAAGUUCCAAGCAAACAGUGUGGAUCAGGCAGAUUUAGUUCAGCUGAAACUUAAGGAGAAAAUUGGCAAGAAUGAUUCAAUUCAAUCUAUCAACAUUGAUUAAAUGCUUACUAUACACCAGGUACUCUUCUAAAGGUUCAGGUUAUAGUAGUGAACACAGAAAGUCCCAAGCAAACACAGCUCUUACAUUCUAUAGGUGGUGCUGGGGGCACAUGGAGAGGAGGGGGAAGACAUUAAGCCAAAAACCAAACAAAUAGAAAACAUCAUACUGUUUUUGAGUGUCAAAUAGUGUGAAGAAAAAUAAAGUUGGUUGGGUGGCUAUGGGGAGUGUUUCAUGUAUUUUUGGUUGCAGAUGAUUUUUUGGAGUUGGUAGCAUCUGAGAAGAGACCUGCAAGAAGUGAAGAAGUAUGCUACCAUGCAUACCCUGGGAGAGGGCACCCCGAGGCAGGGGGAAGAGCCAGUCGGGUUUUCAAGGAGAGCAGAGUGAGGCAUAUUUGAGCUAUACCAGAGACAAUAAGAUGGUGAAGUAAGGCCAUGAAAGACCUUGUUGGCCAUAUCAACAAUAUUGGCUUGCUUUUCCUAAGUCAGUUGGGCCCUUGGAGGCUUUUGAUCAAUGAGGUCUCAGUUUAUAUCAUAUAUAAGUGAAUCUGUAUAUUUUAAGAGUUCAAUCUGUGGCAGGGCGCAAUGGCUCAUGCCUGUUAUCCUAGCACUUUGCAAGGUGGAGGAGGGUGGAUCAUGAGGUCAAGAGAUUGAGAUCAUCCUGGCCAACAUGGCAAAACCCCAUCUCUCCU